rnacentral:rRNA from 1 species
AGUGAACGCUGGCGGUAGGCCUAACACAUGCCAGUCGAACGGCAGCACAGUAAGAGCUUGCUCUUACGGGUGGCGAGUGGCGGACGGGUGAGGAAUACAUCGGAAUCUACUUUUUCGUGGGGGAUAACGUAGGGAAACUUACGCUAAUACCGCAUACGACCUACGGGUGAAAGCAGGGGAUCUUCGGACCUUGCGCGAUUGAAUGAGCCGAUGUCGGAUUAGCUAGUUGGCGGGGUAAAGGCCCACCAAGGCGACGAUCCGUAGCUGGUCUGAGAGGACGGUCAGCCACACUGAAACUGAGACACGGUCCAGACUCCUACGGGAGGCAGCAGUGGGGAAUAUUGGACAAUGGGCGCAAGCCUGAACCAGCCAUACCGCGUGGGUGAAGAAGGCCUGCGGGUGGUAAAGCCCUUUUGUUGGGAAAGAAAAGCAGCAGGUUAAUACCCCGCUGUUCGGACGGUACCCAAAGAAUAAGCACCGGCUAACUUCGU